CCAGUAGUCAUAUGCUUGUCUCAAAGCUUAAGCCAUGCAAGUCUAAGUUCAGGCUUGUUCCUUUCGGGGAGCGAGCCGAAACUGCGAACGGCUCAUUAGUCAGAUAAGGUUCCUUGGCGAAAAGCGGGUCGGUUUAAUGGAUAACUGUGGUAAUUCUAGAGCUAAUACAUGCAACGCACCGUGGUCCCCCCCUUUCACCAAAACCUCUUUUGGCUCUGCGGGGCGGGGGAAACGGCAUUUAUUCUCUGGACCAGAUCGCCCUAGCCCGCGAAGCUACCGUCAAAAGUAGCGACGGGGCGAAGCGACAAGUGUUGAAAUCCGAAUAACUGUGCCGAUCGCGGGGUCUUCCCGGGCCCCCGACGACUUUGCCAUGAAGUGUCUGUCCCAUCAAUUUGCGAUGGUCGGCGACCUGCCUACCACGGUGUUGACGGUAACGAUGAGAAACGGCUACCACCUCCAAGGAGGGCAGCAGGCGCGCAACUUACCCAAUCCCGACACGGGGAGGUAGUGACGAAAAAUAACGUGGCGGGGCCCUUUCGUGGUCGCCGCGGGCGGAAUGAGCGCAAUUUAAAAGAGUGUGCGAGGAUCCAUUGGAGGGCAAGU
rnacentral:rRNA from 1 species